GAUGAACGCUGGCGGUGUGCCUAAUACAUGCAAGUCGAGCGAACGGACGAGAAGCUUGCUUCUCUGAUGUUAGCGGCGGACGGGUGAGUAACACGUGGAUAACCUACUUAUAAGACUGGGAUAACUUCGGGAAACCGGAGCUAAUACCGGAUAAUAUUUUGAACCGCAUGGUUCAAAAGUGAAAGACGGUCUUGCUGUCACUUAUAGAUGGAUCCGCGCUGCAUUAGCUAGUUGGUAAGGUAACGGCUUACCAAGGCAACGAUGCAUAGCCGACCUGAGAGGGUGAUCGGCCACACUGGAACUGAGACACGGUCCAGACUCCUACGGGAGGCAGCAGUAGGGAAUCUUCCGCAAUGGGCGAAAGCCUGACGGAGCAACGCCGCGUGAGUGAUGAAGGUCUUCGGAUCGUAAAACUCUGUUAUUAGGGAAGAACAUAUGUGUAAGUAACUGUGCACAUCUUGACGGUACCUAAUCAGAAAGCCACGGCUAACUACGUG
rnacentral:rRNA from 1 species